GGGCCCGUAGCUCAACCAGGAUAGAGCGAUUGGUUCCGGACCAAAAGGUUGCGGGUUCGAAUCCCGUCGGGCCCG
rnacentral:tRNA from 1 species